GAUCAUGGCUCAGGAUGAACGCUAGCUACAGGCUUAACACAUGCAAGUCGAGGGGCAGCAUGGUCUUAGCUUGCUAAGGCCGAUGGCGACCGGCGCACGGGUGAGUAACACGUAUCCAACCUGCCGUCUACUUUUGGACAGCCUUCUGAGAGGAAGAUUAAUACAAGAUGGCAUCAUGAGUCCGCAUGUUCACAUGAUUAAAGGUAUUCCGGUAGACGAUGGGG
rnacentral:rRNA from 1 species